AUUGAACGCUGGCGGCAGGCCUAACACAUGCAAGUCGAGCGGCAGCACGGGUACUUGUAUCUGGUGGCGAGCGGCGGACGGGUGAGUAAUGCCUAGGAAUCUGCCUGGUAGUGGGGGAUAACGCUCGGAAACGGACGCUAAUACCGCAUACGUCCUACGGGAGAAAGCAGGGGACCUUCGGGCCUUGCGCUAUCAGAUGAGCCUAGGUCGGAUUAGCUAGUUGGUGAGGUAACGGCUCACCAAGGCGACGAUCCGUAACUGGUCUGAGAGGAUGAUCAGUCACACUGGAACUGAGACACGGUCCAGACUCCUACGGGAGGCAGCAGUGGGGAAUAUUGGACAAUGGGCGAAAGCCUGAUCCAGCCAUGCCGCGUGUGUGAAGAAGGUCUUCGGAUUGUAAAGCACUUUAAGUUGGGAGGAAGGGCAGUUACCUAAUACGUAUCUGUUUUGACGUUACCGACAGAAUAAGCACCGGCUAACUCUGUG
rnacentral:rRNA from 1 species